CAGCACGGAUUAGUUUACUAAUUGGGUGGCGACCGGCGCACGGGUGCGUAACGCGUAUGCAACCUACCUUGUACUGGGGUAUAGCCCGGAGAAAUUCGGAUUAAUCCCCCAUAGUAUUAAACAACCGCAUGGUUGAAUAAUUAAAGGUUACGGUACAAGAUGGGCAUGCGUCCUAUUAGCUAGAUGGUGAGGUAACGGCUCACCAUGGCGACGAUAGGUAGGGGGCCUGAGAGGGUGGUCCCCCACACUGGUACUGAGACACGGACCAGACUCCUACGGGAGGCAGCAGUGAGGAAUAUUGGUCAAUGGGCGCAAGCCUGAACCAGCCAUGCCGCGUGCAGGAAGAAUGCCCUAUGGGUUGUAAACUGCUUUUAUUUAGGAAUAAACUCUUGUACGUGUACAAGCCUGAAGGUACUAAAUGAAUAAGCACCGGCUAACUCCGUGCCAGCAGCCGCGGUAAUACGGAGGGUGCAAGCGUUAUCCGGAAUCAUUGGGUUUAAAGGGUCCGC
rnacentral:rRNA from 1 species